UGACUGCGUACCUUUUGUAUAAUGGGUCAGCGACUUACAUUUAGUAGCGAGGUUAAGCGAAUAGCGGAGCCGUAGGGAAACCGAGUGUUAACUGCGCGUAUAGUUGCUAGGUGUAGACCCGAAACCCGGUGAUCUAGCCAUGGGCAGGUUGAAGGUUGAGUAACAUCAACUGGAGGACCGAACCGACUAAUGUUGAAAAAUUAGCGGAUGACUUGUGGCUGGGGGUGAAAGGCCAAUCAAACCGGGAGAUAUCUGGUUCUCCUCGAAAGCUAUUUAGGUAGCGCCUCGGACGAACACCUUUGGGGGUAGAGCACUGUUAAGGCUAGGGGGUCAUCCCGACUUACCAACCCUUUGCAAACUCCGAAUACCAAAGAGUGCUAUCCGGGAGACAGACGGCGGGUGCUAACGUCCGUCGUCAAAAGGGAAACAACCCAGACCGUCAGCUAAGGUCCCAAAGUAAUUGCUAAGUGGGAAACGAUGUGGGAAGGCUUAGACAGCUAGGAUGUUGCUUAGAAGCAGCCAUCAUUUAAAGAAAGCGUAAUAGCUCACUAGUCGAGUCGGCCUGCGCGGAAGAUGUAACGGGGCUAAGCAAUUCACCGAAGCUACGGGUACUGAUGCUUGCAUCAGUGCGGUAGAGGAGCGUUCUGUAAGCCGUUGAAGGCGAAGGGGUAACCCACGCUGGAGGUAUCAGAAGUGCGAAUGCUGACAUGAGUAACGAUAAAGGGGGUGAAAAACCCCCUCGCCGAAAGACCAAGGGUUCCUGUCCAACGUUAAUCGGGGCAGGGUGAGUCGACCCCUAAGGCGAGGCUGAAAGGCGUAGUCGAUGGGAAACGGGUUAAUAUUCCCGUACUUCUGCUAACUGCGAUGGAGAGACGGAGAAGGCUAGGCCGGCGCGGCGUUGGUAGUCCGCGUUUAAGGUAGUAGGUGGUGUGCUUAGGCAAAUCCGGGCACACAUACACUGAGAGCUGACGACGAGUCCCCAAGGGGAUGAAGUGGUUGAUGCCAUGCUUCCAGGAAAAUCUUCUAAGCUUCAGGUUAGCAGGAAUCGUACCCCAAACCGACACAGGUGGUCGGGUAGAGAAUACCAAGGCGCUUGAGAGAACUCGGCUGAAGGAACUAGGCAAAAUGGUACCGUAACUUCGGGAGAAGGUACGCUCCUGUUGGUGAUGAGACUUGCUCUCUGAGCUGACGGGAGUCGCAGAUACCAGGUGGCUGCAACUGUUUAUCAAAAACACAGCACUGUGCAAAAUCGCAAGAUGACGUAUACGGUGUGACGCCUGCCCGGUGCCGGAAGGUUAAUUGAUUGGGUUAUCUUCGGAGAAGCUCAUGAUCGAAGCCCCGGUAAACGGCGGCCGUAACUAUAACGGUCCUAAGGUAGCGAAAUUCCUUGUCGGGUAAGUUCCGACCUGCACGAAUGGCGUAAUGAUGGCCACGCUGUCUCCAGCCGAGACUCAGUGAAGUUGAAAUUGCGGUGAAGAUGCCGUAUACCCGCGGCUAGACGGAAAGACCCCGUGAACCUUUACUAUAGCUUGGCACUGAACAUUGACCCUACAUGUGUAGGAUAGGUGGGAGACUAUGAAGAUGAGACGCCAGUCUUGUUGGAGUCAACCUUGAAAUACCACCCUUGUAGUGUUGAUGUUCUAACCUGGGCCCUAAUCGGGGUUAGGGACAGUGCCUGGUGGGUAGUUUGACUGGGGCGGUCUCCUCCCAAAGAGUAACGGAGGAGCACGAAGGUUGGCUAAGUACGGUCGGACAUCGUACGGUUAGUGUAAUGGCAUAAGCCAGCUUAACUGCGAGACAGACACGUCGAGCAGGUGCGAAAGCAGGUCAUAGUGAUCCGGUGGUUCUGAAUGGAAGGGCCAUCGCUCAACGGAUAAAAGGUACUCCGGGGAUAACAGGCUGAUACCGCCCAAGAGUUCAUAUCGACGGCGGUGUUUGGCACCUCGAUGUCGGCUCAUCACAUCCUGGGGCUGAAGUCGGUCCCAAGGGUAUGGCUGUUCGCCAUUUAAAGUGGUACGCGAGCUGGGUUCAGAACGUCGUGAGACAGUUCGGUCCCUAUCUGCCGUGGGCGUUGGAUGAUUGAGGGGAGCUGCUCCUAGUACGAGAGGACCGGAGUGGACGAACCGCUGGUGUUCGGGUUGUCAUGCCAAUGGCAUUGCCCGGUAGCUACGUUCGGAAUCGAUAACCGCUGAAAGCAUCUAAGCGGGAAGCGAGCCCCAAGAUGAGUCAUCCCUAGGGCCUAGAGCCCUCUGAAGAGCCGUUCGAGACCAGGACGUUGA
rnacentral:rRNA from 1 species